rnacentral:rRNA from 1 species
UACGAAGGGUGCAAGCGUUAAUCGGAAUUACUGGGCGUAAAGCGUGCGCAGGCGGCUUUGCAAGACAGAUGUGAAAUCCCCGGGCUUAACCUGGGAACUGCAUUUGUGACUGCAUGGCUAGAGUGCGGCAGAGGGGGAUGGAAUUCCGCGUGUAGCAGUGAAAUGCGUAGAUAUGCGGAGGAACACCGACGGCGAAGGCAAUCCCCUGGGCCUGCACUGACGCUCAUGCACGAAAGCGUGGGGAGCAAACAGG